UGUGUCGUAAUAUAAGGGGGUAGAGCACUGAAUGGGCUAGGGCAUACACCAAUGUACCAAACCCUAUCAAACUCCGAAUACCUUAUAUGUAAUCACAGCAGUCAGGCGGCGAGUGAUAAAAUCCGUCGUCAAGAGGGAAACAACCCAGACUACCAGCUAAGGUCCCUAAGUCUUACUUAAGUGGAAAACGAUGUGAAGUUACUUAAACAACCAGGAGGUUGGCUUAGAAGCAGCCAUCCUUUAAAGAAAGCGUAAUAGCUCACUGGUCUAGUGAUUUUGCGCGGAAAAUAUAACGGGGCUAAAGUAAGUACCGAAGCUGUAGACUUAGUUUACUAAGUGGUAGGAGAGCGUUCUAUUUGCGUCGAAGGUAUACCGGUAAGGAGUGCUGGAGCGAAUAGAAGUGAGCAUGCAGGCAUGAGUAGCGAUAAUUAAUGUGAGAAUCAUUAACGCCGUAAACCCAAGGUUUCCUACGCGAUGCUCGUCAUCGUAGGGUUAGUCGGGUCCUAAGUCGAGUCCGAAAGGGGUAGACGAUGGCAAAUUGGUUAAUAUUCCAAUACCAACAUUAGUGUGCGAUGGAAGGACGCUUAGGGCUAAGGGGGCUAGCGGAUGGAAGUGCUAGUCUAAGGUCGUAGGAGGUUAUACAGGCAAAUCCGUAUAACAAUACUCCGAGAACUGAAAGGCUUUUUGAAGUCUUCGGAUGGAUAGAAGAACCCCUGAUGCCGUCGAGCCAAGAAAAGUUUCUAAGUUUAGCUAAUGUUGCCCGUACCGUAAACCGACACAGGUGGGUGGGAUGAGUAUUCUAAGGCGCGUGGAAGAACUCUCUUUAAGGAACUCUGCAAAAUAGCACCGUAUCUUCGGUAUAAGGUGUGGUUAGCUUCGUACUAGGAUUUACUCCGAAAGCGAAGAAACUUACAACAAAGAGUCCCUCCCGACUGUUUACCAAAAACACAGCACUCUGCUAACUCGUAAGAGGAUGUAUAGGGUGUGACGCCUGCCCGGUGCUCGAAGGUUAAUUGAUGGGGUUAGCAUUAGCGAAGCUCUUGAUCGAAGCCCGAGUAAACGGCGGCCGUAACUAUAACGGUCCUAAGGUAGCGAAAUUCCUUGUCGGUUAAAUACCGACCUGCAUGAAUGGCGUAACGAGAUGGGAGCUGUCUCAAAGAGGGAUCCAGUGAAAUUGUAGUGGAGGUGAAAAUUCCUCCUACCCGCGGCAAGACGGAAAGACCCCGUGGACCUUUACUACAGCUUGACACUGCUACUUGGAUAAGAAUGUGCAGGAUAGGUGGGAGGCUUUGAGUAUAUGACGCCAGUUGUAUAUGAGCCAUUGUUGAGAUACCACUCUUUCUUAUUUGGGUAGCUAACCAGCUUGAGUUAUCCUCAAGUGGGACAAUGUCUGGUGGGUAGUUUGACUGGGGCGGUCGCCUCCCAAAUAAUAACGGAGGCUUACAAAGGUUGGCUCAGAACGGUUGGAAAUCGUUCGUAGAGUAUAAAGGUAUAAGCCAGCUUAACUGCAAGACAUACAAGUCAAGCAGAGACGAAAGUCGGUCUUAGUGAUCCGGUGGUUCUGUGUGGAAGGGCCAUCGCUCAAAGGAUAAAAGGUACCCCGGGGAUAACAGGCUGAUCUCCCCCAAGAGCUCACAUCGACGGGGAGGUUUGGCACCUCGAUGUCGGCUCAUCGCAUCCUGGGGCUGGAGCAGGUCCCAAGGGUAUGGCUGUUCGCCAUUUAAAGCGGUACGCGAGCUGGGUUCAGAACGUCGUGAGACAGUUCGGUCCCUAUCUGCCGUGGGCGUAAGAAGAUUGAAGAGAUUUGACCCUAGUACGAGAGGACCGGGUUGAACAAACCACUGGUGUAGCUGUUGUUCUGCCAAGAGCAUCGCAGCGUAGCUAAGUUUGGAAAGGAUAAACGCUGAAAGCAUCUAAGCGUGAAGCCAACUCUAAGAUGAAUCUUCUCUAAGCUCUCUAGAAGACUACUAGUUUGAUAGGCUGGGUGUGUAAUGGAUGAAAGUCCUUUAGCUGACCAGUACUAAUAGAGCGUUUGGCUUAUCUUUAAUAAAGCAU
rnacentral:rRNA from 1 species